AGUGCUGACGACAACUUUGCUAAUAGAAGGAAGGUUUUUAGGAUUAACGGACUCCUUUACUGGUAACAGAGGCUUAUUACCACGCAUUUUCUGAGGAGGCCGGUUUUUAUAAUAAGGGUUAUCACCAAUCCACCUUGGAAGUCUGUCUUUCUGUGUAUGUUCAUCUGUGCUUAACGCUGUAUCUAUGUCAUGUCGAUAUGAAGCAGCUAAUACAUCCGGUAAAAUGGUAUCAUGCAAGUGUUCUUGUAAGCGAUUUAACAUGGUGGGUCCUGGACGAAAAUACUCAGAAUUUGGAUCCCAUC